GACGAACGCUGGCGGCGUGCCUAAUACAUGCAAGUAGAACGCUGAAGGAGGAGCUUGCUUCUCUGGAUGAGUUGCGAACGGGUGAGUAACGCGUAGGUAACCUGCCUGGUAGCGGGGGAUAACUAUUGGAAACGAUAGCUAAUACCGCAUAAUAGUAGAUGUUGCAUGACAUUUGCUUAAAAGAUGCAAUUGCAUCACUACCAGAUGGACCUGCGUUGUAUUAGCUAGUUGGUGGGGUAACGGCUCACCAAGGCGACGAUACAUAGCCGACCUGAGAGGGUGAUCGGCCACACUGGGACUGAGACACGGCCCAGACUCCUACGGGAGGCAGCAGUAGGGAAUCUUCGGCAAUGGACGAAAGUCUGACCGAGCAACGCCGCGUGAGUGAAGAAGGUUUUCGGAUCGUAAAGCUCUGUUGUAAGAGAAGAACGAGUGUGAGAGUGGAAAGUUCACACUGUGACGGUAUCUUACCAGAAAGGGAC
rnacentral:rRNA from 1 species